CCUGGCUCAGGAUGAACGCCUGGCGGCGUGCUCUAACACAUCGCAAGUUCGUGCGGCAGCGAAGGGUGCUUGCACCCCGUCGGCGUGCGGCGGACGGCUGAGUAACGCGUCGGGAAACGUCGCCCCAAAGUGAGGAAAUAACUGCCCGAAAGGGUAGCUAAUACCGCAUAUUAUCUUCGGAUUCAAAGGAUUUAUCCGCUUUGGGAGCGGCCCGCGUCGGAUUAGGUAGUUGGUGAGGUAAUGGCUCACCAAGCCGACGAUCCGUAGCUGGUCUGAGAGGAUGACCAGCCAGACUGGAACUGAGACACGGUCCAGACUCCUACGGGAGGCAGCAGUGAGGAAUCUUCCACAAUGGGCGAAAGCCUGAUGGAGCAACGCCGCGUGCAGGACGAAGGCCUUCGGGUUGUAAACUGCUUUUAUAAGUGAGGAAUAUGACGGUAACUUAUGAAUAAGGAUCGGCUAACUACGUGCCAGCAGCCGCGGUCAUACGUAGGAUCCGAGCGUUAUCCGGAGUGACUGGGCGUAAAGAGUUGCGUAGGCGGUUGUAUAAGUGAAUAGUGAAAUCUGGUGGCUCAACCAUACAGGCUAUUGUUCAAACUGUACAACUUGAGAGUGGUAGAGGUCACUGGAAUUUCUUGUGUAGGAGUGAAAUCCGUAGAUAUAAGAAGGAACACCAAUGGCGUAGGCAGGUGACUGGACCAUUUCUGACGCUAAGGCACGAAAGCGUGGGGAGCGAACCGGAUUAGAUACCCGGGUAGUCCACGCCGUAAACGAUGGAUACUGGCUGUUGGAGGUAUCGACCCCUUCAGUAGCGAAGCUAACGCGUUAAGUAUCCCGCCUGUGGAGUACGGCCGCAAGGCUAAAACAUAAAGGAAUUGACGGGGACCCGCACAAGCGGUGGAUCGUGUUCUUUAAUUCGAUGCUAAACGAAGAACCUUACCAGGGCUUGACAUCCAGGGAAUUUUUGGGAAACCAAUUAGUGCCGUUUGGAACCCUGUGACAGGUGAUGCAUGGCCGUCGUCAGCUCGUGUCGUGAGAUGUUUGGUUAAGUCCAUCAACGAGCGCAACCCUUGUGUCUAGUUGUAUUUUUCUAGACAGACUGCUUCGGUAACGGAGAGGAAGGAGGGGAUGAUGUCAGGUCAGUAUUUCCCUUACGUCCUGGGCUAGAAACACGAUACAAUGGCUAGUACAAUGCGCAGCGAAGCCGCGAGGUGAAGCAAAUCGCAUCAAAGCUAGUCCCAGUUCGGAUUGGAGGCUGAAACUCGCCUCCUUGAAGUCGGAAUCGCUAGUAAUCGCAAAUUCAGCAAGUUGCGGUGAAUACGUUUCCCGGGGUCUUGUACCCACCGCCC
rnacentral:rRNA from 1 species